GAGGCUGUAUCACGACGUGAACGGUACUCCCGGAGUAUUUUUUGGUCUUAUUGCGUAUAGAUAAAUGAAUGAUGUAUGGACAAGAAUCUGCUCAGAGCCUGUGAGGACCGAGACAGAAGG
rfam:Brevibacillus choshinensis strain DSM 8552 super29, whole genome shotgun sequence.